GACGAACGCUGGCGGCAUGCCUAACACAUGCAAGUCGAACGGAACUUGUUGAAUGAAGUUUUCGGAUGGAUUUUGAUAAGUUUAGUGGCGGACGGGUGAGUAACGCGUGAGCAACCUGCCUUUCAGAGGGGGACAACAGUUGGAAACGACUGCUAAUACCGCAUAACGUAUACGGACCGCAUGAUCUGUAUACCAAAGAUUUAUGUGCUGAAAGAUGGCCUCGCGUCUGAUUAGCUAGUAGGUAGGGUAACGGCCUACCUAGGCGACGAUCAGUAGCCGAACUGAGAGGUUGAUCGGCCACAUUGGGACUGAGACACGGCCCAGACUCCUACGGGAGGCAGCAGUGGGGAAUAUUGCGCAAUGGGGGGAACCCUGACGCAGCAACGCCGCGUGAAGGGAAGAAGGGUCUUCGGAUUGUAAACUUCUGUCCUAAAGGAAGAUAAUGACGGUACUUUAGGAGGAAGCCACGGCUAACUACGUG
rnacentral:rRNA from 1 species